UGAUUGUGAGCUAUUCUUGUGAUAUCCUCGAUUGUUCUAGUGGUGAUUCAUUUCUAUUCUCCCUAUGGAUAUUGGUUGUUGACUGAGUUGUGUGAAUGUCUUAUACAUUAUUUUACCAUUUCUGCUUGCUGUGUCUAAUGAUUUAAACUUUAUUAAUAGGAUCUGACAAAUGGAAAAGAUACUUUGGUACCUGUGUUCGAUUUUCAGCACAAAAGAUGUGUCGGUUCAAAGACAAUUAAGAGUGCUUCCUCUGGUGUGGUGAUUGUCGAUGGUACUUAUGCUCUACAUGCGAGGUUGCGGUCUUUGCUAGAUAUUCGGGUUGCUGUUGUUGGUGGUGUCCAUUUUAGCCUCCUUUCAAAGGUUCAAUAUGAUAUUGGAGACUCUCAUUCACAGGAUUCUCUCAUUGACAGCAUCCUUCCAUUGUUUAGGAGACACAUUGAGCCAGAUUUACACCAUGCACAGAUUAGAAUCAACAAUAGCUUUGUUUCAUCAUUCAGGGAAGCAAUCUACAAGAUAAAAUGCAGAAGCGAUUCUCCAGAUUCCUUUCCUGCCCAGGUUCUCCAAGGAAAUGAAGCUCAAACAGAUAACUUUAUUGAGAUGUACCUGAGACCUCCAUCAGCCAGUGAAGAAGCACGAAUAAACGAUUGGAUUAAGGUGCGUCAAUCUGGUAUUAGGUACUAUCUUUCCCUGGGUGACCAGAGGAUUGUGGACAAGCAUUUCAUUAUCCGACCCAAAGCAGAGUUUGAGGUAAGAAACAUCUCAUAUUUCAUUACACUAAAUAGUCGUCCUUUGAGUUGACUUGAUGAUUUACUAUGCUGAUGUCUUGUCCUCUUUAUCAGUUUUGUAAGGUUUCUAUUUCACUCCUAUGAACCUUCACAUGCAGCUAGAUAUAGCAUUUGAGACAGUUUUCUUCUGCAAUUUGAGAAUUGGCAUAUGUAAGAAUCAACUUACACACAUAUAUUUGAUAGUAGCCAUGAGAGUAACGUGUCCAUAGAAUAUUUCCAAACAACUGUAUCAAGGAAUUAUGAAGAUGGAAACUUUUGGUGGUACUCCGAUUAA